rnacentral:rRNA from 1 species
AUUGAACGCUGGCGGCAUGCCUAACACAUGCAAGUCGAACGGUAACAGGCCCUUCGGGUGCUGACGAGUGGCGGAUGGGUGAGUAAUACUUAGGAAUCUACCCUGUAGUGGGGGACAACCCGGGGAAACUCGGGCUAAUACCGCAUACACUCUACGGAGGAAAGCGGGGGACCGCAAGGCCUCGCGCUAUUGGAUGAGCCUAAGCCCGAUUAGCUAGUUGGUGGGGUAAUAGCCUACCAAGGCAGUGAUCGGUAGCUGGUCUGAGAGGACGACCAGCCACACUGGGACUGAGACACGGCCCAGACUCCUACGGGAGGCAGCAGUGGGGAAUAUUGGACAAUGGGCGAAAGCCUGAUCCAGCGAUGCCGCGUGUGUGAAGAAGGCCU